AGUUGCUGUUUGGUGUCUGAGAAUAAGGGACAACAAAUUUAAAGGGCCUAUUAUGGAGAAUCCAGCAUAUGGACAAGUGGUUGAACUUCAGCAACAAAGACCACCAAGAGUUAGGACUGAAGUUAACCCAGCUUAUGAGACAGUGCUUCCACAUGUUAAUAAUGCAUUAUAUGAAUCUGU